UACAGAGGUCCCAAGCGUUGUUCGGAUUCAUUGGGCGUAAAGGGUGCGUAGGCGGCGCGGUAAGUCGGAUGUGAAAUCUCGGAGCUUAACUUCGAAACUGCAUUCGAUACUGCUUUGCUUGAGGACUGGAGAGGAGAUUGGAAUUCACGGUGUAGCAGUGAAAUGCGUAGAUAUCGUGAGGAAGACCAGUGGCGAAGGCGGAUCUCUGGACAGUUCCUGACGCUGAGGCGCGAAGGCCAGGGGAGCAAACGGG
rnacentral:rRNA from 1 species